rnacentral:rRNA from 1 species
UUCCGUAGGGUGAACCUGCGGAGGGAUCAUUACACAAAUAUGAAGGCGGGCUGGAAUCUCUCGGGGUUACAGCCUUGCUGAAUUAUUCACCCUUGUCUUUUGCGUACUUCUUGUUUCCUUGGUGGGUUCGCCCACCACUAGGACAAACAUAAACCUUUUGUAAUUGCAAUCAGCGUCAGUAACAAAUUAAUAAUUACAACUUUCAACAACGGAUCUCUUGGUUCUGGCAUCGAUGAAGAACGCAGCGAAAUGCGAUAAGUAGUGUGAAUUGCAGAAUUCAGUGAAUCAUCGAAUCUUUGAACGCACAUUGCGCCCUUUGGUAUUCCAAAGGGCAUGCCUGUUCGAGCGUCAUUUGUACCCUCAAGCUUUGCUUGGUGUUGGGCGUCUUGUCUCUAGCUUUGCUGGAGACUCGCCUUAAAGUAAUUGGCAGCCGGCCUACUGGUUUCGGAGCGCAGCACAAGUCGCACUCUCUAUCAGCAAAGGUCUAGCAUCCAUUAAGCCUUUUUUCAACUUUUGACCUCGGAUCAGGUAGGGAUACCCGCUGAAUCCCUUAAGCAUAUCAAUAA